CUCAUUUUCAGGUCUACUUCUAUUGACUAUUUAUUCUCUCAGGGGUCAUAUUUUCCCUUGUAUGUCCUUUACAUGCCAAAUAUUUUAAAAAUUAUGUUAUUUGCUUACUACACAGUAAAGUCUCUAGGUUCUACUAUCUUUCUAUGAAAAAUAUCAUUUUGUCUUCCCAGAUGAUUAAAUCACUGACAGAUUGCCUUAGUCCUGGGAAGUUCAGCUUUAACACUUAUUAGAGUGAGCAUCUUUCAGUUUUGACCUUAGAAUGCAACCAGUUCUAGGAUGUGGCUGGUCCUCCUACAGCAUGGUCCACGUCUACAAAGCUUCUCUAACUCCACGGAUGAGAAACUCAAACUCUGCAGUCGGCAGCCAAGGUUUGAAGAAAAAUCUCAACACCAGUGGAUCUGGGAGGACUAAGAAGCCAAGGAGGUGGUGACCAGGAACCCUGAGAGGAACCCACCACAGCUGAUAGGAAAGAGGCAGAAGGACAUCACGGCUGAGGAUGGGGACUUUGGAGGCAGCUGGGGUUUAAUCCCUACCCUUCCACUCAGUCACCCCCUGAUGGUUAACUUCUUCAGAGUUUCUUGUAUGGACAAGGAAGUUUGAUGAGAUGACGAGGCAGUAGACAUUGGAUACAAGACAGACGGGCACUGGACACGCUUCUGCUUGACAGUUUUUCUGUUUCUGCCCCCUCAUGACCUCUUUGGAGGCUCUGCUCUGUAGAAAUGUCUCUAUUUUUCUACCUACAAGUCUCCUUACCCCAUUUGUGGACAAGAUUGCUGUCUUUCUGAGAUGCCCAUUGACUCUGUCAAGGUAAAGUUAUUUAUGUGGGAGGAAGUACCUGGGCUUUAAAGUCAAACAUGGACUUGAAUCCCAUUUCAGAGGCUGCAUAUAGAUUUGGGGAAUCCAAGAGUGAAGGCCUCUGUCCACUUUGUAGGUGGAACAUAGGAAAUGGGCAAAUACCCAAAUCUCUUCCUGUGCUGCAACAGGGCUUAAAAGAAGGAGAGAUCACUGCUGCAGCCCGUUCCUAGCUUUGAGGAGUCCCCAGUACCUGGCAGCAUGGUGGAGAAGUGUCCAGGAGUAGCAGGUGAGGGCUGGACAGCCGUGGGGCUGUCACUGAGUGGUCCCAGACACAUAGGGCAAGCAGAGUCAUCUAUAGGACCUGAAGAUCUGAAGGAGAGAAUUGGUCUCCCAACCAGAUUCAGCUGCCAGGGCCUGACUGCAAAGUACUGGGGUUCCUGUUUCCCUAGGCUGAAUUAAUGGCCCCCAAUCCCAGUCCUCUGACCUGUUUUCUCUCUUUCUAUGCCUUAAUUCCUGGAAAAUAGAGUCUGGAAAUGCCUGGGGACUGUUCAGGUGGGUCUCAAAGGGACAAGAGACAGGACUGAAGGGUAUAGUAGGGGGCGAAGACAGAACCAAGAGUGUUCGUUCUGCCACGGGAUGGGGUCUCCCAACAAGAAUUUCAGAUCCAUUUAGGGAGGCAAUGCCCAUUUUUAGCACUUCUGAAUAAAUUGGCUGAGAAUCCUAAAUUUAAUAAUAUAUUUUUCCUACUAUGCUUCAUUACACAUUAGUGUAUUUUCUGCUCCCCUUUUAGAAACAUGAUCUAUGAGAAAGAGAGAGAGAGAGAGAG